rnacentral:rRNA from 1 species
GAUGAACGCUGGCGGCGUGCCUAAUACAUGCAAGUCGAGCGAAUGGAUUAAGAGCUUGCUCUUAUGAAGUUAGCGGCGGACGGGUGAGUAACACGUGGGUAACCUGCCCAUAAGACUGGGAUAACUCCGGGAAACCGGGGCUAAUACCGGAUAACAUUUUGAACCGCAUGGUUCGAAGUUGAAAGGCGGCUUCGGCUGUCACUUAUGGAUGGACCCGCGUCGCAUUAGCUAGUUGGUGAGGUAACGGCUCACCAAGGCAACGAUGCGUAGCCGACCUUAGAGGGUGAUCGGCCACCCUGGGACGGAGACCCGGCCCAGACUCAUACGGGAGGCAGCAGUAGGGAAGCUUCCGCAAUGGACGAAAGGCUGACGGAGCAACGCCGCGUGAGUGAUGAAGGCUUUCGGGUCGUAAAACUCUGUUGUUAGGGAAGAACAAGUGCUAGUUGAAUAAGCUGGCACCUUGACGGUACCUAACCAGAAAGCCACGGCUAACUACGUGCCAGCCGCCGCCGUAA